ACCGCAGCAGCCGGGUGUGAGGGCAGGGCUGGGUGUUCGGAGACCUUCAGAAGCCUGGUCAUGGAGGGCCUGCCCAGGGACCCCCCUGCCUCUCCCCCCAGGCCCCAUGGCGGCAGAGACUCACAGGCAAAGAACUGCCAGGGCUGGUAGGUGCGGCCGAAGUCCAUGGACCGCUCCAGCACCCAGAGGUCCGGCCGGGGUGAGUUGGCAAACUUGAUGAGGACGUAAGCCACGUGGAAGACCUGUGGGCCGAGAGGGCGUCAGGGGAGCCAGGGGCGCCUGGAUUCCCAUGCUCCCAGGGGCCUGGCUCAUUUUCUGCCCCUCAGCAGGUACGCCUGGGAACAGCUGGGUGCUGUUGGCCAGGUAGGCCUGGAAGCCUAGGGCCCCAAGGGGGAGAGUGGGGUCCCCCAGAGCUGCACAAGACCUACAGUCACCCCACUGGACUGAGCUGGACUGAGACUGCUGUGGGGUCCCCCAUGAAAAGACCACAGACCCCUCAUAGCUUCAGCCCUUGGGGGCACCAGCUGCCCAGACUCCAGACAGGGGCCCUGGACAGCUGUCCU
rnacentral:antisense_RNA from 1 species